rnacentral:lncRNA from 1 species
AUGGCAUUAAACUUCCUGGAAAUCCCAAGACUGCUGUUGAACACGGAAACAGGUAUUUCAGAGGAUGUGGCUUGUUUUCCUGAAUCUCUCCUGAGCAGUCUGAGAGCUCUGUGCAGGCUGAGCAAUGCCUCAGACACCGCAGUCUUCCACGGAGUUUCUAACUAGGUUAAACAUGUUCACCCACCCUUGUUCUGAAUUGCCAUAUGCCUGCAACUUCAGUGAGCUUUGAUGGAUGGAGCUGUGAGGAGGCAUUUCAGAAAGACUCCUGACUCUUCUGCUCAGCUUGUUCUCCACCAACGACUGAACUGUUUACCCACACAGCACUUCUGCAGUUAUUGAGAACUUCUCCUCAGCUUUGACUAAUUUUUGCAGUUAUUGAGAGGUUUUGACCGGCUGUGCUGAAAUUCCUGGAGUUUUUUGCUCACUAUCCCCACAAACAGGAGAGGAAAAGUAAAGAAUUCAUUAACUGUGCUUUACAGGUGACAAGACCGAGGAACAAGCAAAUCAAAAAGGCUUGUGCAGAGUCAUGCAGUGAAGCAUUUUCACCACUGUCUCCAAGAUUCCUGAUUUUAGGACCAGCAUGACAGCUGCAUGAUCACAUAACCUGGGGCUGUUCUUUGAUCAAGGUAAACCAUCAUUUUUGGCAAGCACAGGUUUUGCUGCUGUGCUCUUCCUCCCCAGCGAUGGCACAGAAACUCCAGCUGUGACAAAUGUUUUCCUGGGCAGGAGGACACAAGGUCACAGUGAUUAAGCCAAAAGACCAUUUCCCAGUGGAUUAUCUCAGAUGAUGUUUCCUGAAAAUCACUCCAUAUCACACAUGGACCAAAGUUCACACAACUCUUCCUCUGGACCCUUCUUUCUGUCACGCCGUGUUUGUUGACACCAGAAGUUUAGUGUCUAGGGGAGAGCAGUGAAAGCUACAGGAUUUUGUGGAGCAUAUCAGGGAAGAGAAGAGAAUGUGACACAGCUCAUGUCUCUUCAUCUGAGGUGCCUUAUGUACUGCCAUCUCUUCACCUAAGGGGUGGAAUAUUUUUUCUGCCUGACACAGUCUUCAUUUCAACAGAUUUCCAGACAGGAGAAGCCACAUUUGUGCUAUGAGCUACAAGUGCCAGGCUUUUGCCUGGGUAGACAUUCUCUGGGAGAUUUUUUGUGAUCCAGACAUAAUUUCUGUCUUCUUAUCUGGAACACGAAGAGUCUGGAGAUGCCAUCUUUCCAUGAAGCAGAACAAAUAGGUUAUUAAGUGCUAGCCUCACAUAAGGCAUGCAGAAAAGAUUUUGACUUUAAUAAAUCAAGGCUAAGGAUGAAUAACUGAAGGUCU